rnacentral:SRP_RNA from 2 species
GCCUUUCCUUAGACCUGUGCAAUGCUUUUAAAAAGCACCGCUUCAGGAUGGGAACAUAGCAGAGCACUUUUUACAGGUGUGUGCCGCAGUCAUCUGGGGAGAGGUUUUC